GAGGUCCCAAGCGUUGUUCGGAUUCACUGGGCGUAAAGGGUGCGUAGGUGGCGAGGUAAGUCGGAUGUGAAAUCUCCAAGCUCAACUUGGAAAUGGCAUUGGAAACUACCUUGCUAGAGGUUUGGAGGGGGGACUGGAAUUCUCGGUGUAGCAGUGAAAUGCGUAGAUAUCGAGAGGAACACCAGUGGCGAAGGCGAGUCCCUGGACAACACCUGACACUGAGGCACGGAAGCUAGGGGAGCAAACAGGAUUAGAUACCCUGGUAGUCCUAGCCGUAAACGGUGCUUGCUUGCUGUAAAAGGAAUCGACCCCUUUUGUGGCGAAGCCAACGCGUUAAGCAAGCCGCCUGGGAAGUACGGUCGCAAGAUUA
rnacentral:rRNA from 1 species